AUGGGUAGCCCUUGUUACCCUACCCCAGCAACAGACUGGGGCAGGCCCUCACGCUCUGCAAGGCAGCACUCGUCCUAUGGGUGCCUGCGACCUUUAGUUGGUGGAAGCCAGCGACUCCUGAUCUCUCCUCUACCCGCAAAAGGAAAGCUGUUCCUAGAAAAACCACAUCUUAGGGUAGGGGAGGAGGUGAUACUGCCCCCUAGUGUUCGACGGACCACACGCACCUCCGCAUCUCUUACGCCAGUUNNNNNNNNNNNNNNNNNNNNNNNNNNNNNNNNNNNNNNNNNNNNNNNNNNNNNNNNNNNNNNNNNNNNNNNNNNNNNNNNNNNNNNNNNNNNNNNNNNNCAUCUCUUACGCCAGUUCUUGCCCUUUAAGACUGCCCCAGAUAUCCAUUUCAAUCAGAUUUUGACUUAGUAAUAAGUCAAAGCACAGGAGAAGCGCUCCUGUCAUUCACCCUGUCGCUCAUCCAGAGUUGUGCGGGUGGCCCUGGCCCAGCAGUGAUAAUGCGCAUAAAGAGGUCACGUGUGGAGGGGCCCAGGGUAGUCCUUAACCGCCCUGGGCAUUUCGAGUUAGUGGAAUUAGAUUCCAGGGCUCUCUUUCCUUUAAAAGGCACAUCCAUCAACUUGAGUACAGCAGAGGCUCUGAUUCCAAGCACAUCUUUGCUGAAACACAGAGUUCCGAGCAGGUAAACACUGCCCCUAACCCAUCUUUAAAGACAGGGUGACUCACCCACAAAAGCCCAGCAAGGCAGGCAUUCCAUGUUUGCUUGGGGUGGGGGGCAGGGGAGGGUGGAGAAAGGAGAGUCUUCUGAUGGGGAAAAACCAAGGUUUAUGUAUAAUUGGUGCAAGAUGUCAUUUUUUGGAUCGGAUGAAAGAUUUUCUGGUCUUUAUCCUAUUAAAGAGACUUUCUAGAAAUUUCUCUUUAUAGAGUAAGAGCUUAGUAAUCAGAAAAGAAUCCAAUUCCAGAUAAGCCCAUGCUUUAAAACAGAUUCUCAGGCAGCCCCUCUCCUCCAACAAGGGAUGGAUCCCAGUUUCAGAACACUCACAUGGGCUCUGCAAGUUCCUGGAAACUUCCCUGACCCUUGCUUGCCUCGGUUUCUCCUACUGUAAAAUGGAGCCGUGCUAGCUGCCAUUUGUGAAGAGUUUCAAGGAGACUGAAGUGUCUUAAAGAAGGUUUCAAGUAUCCUGGACUUGGAAUUCUCAUUACAAAACCUUAUUUCACCUUCAAAGCACUGUAGCAUUAACUAGAUCUGCCUAAUUACACUGCAGAGAAAUGCCUUGAGUUUAUUUCGCCUGAAUGUGACAGAAAUUGGGGUGGUCAUCUGUCAAAAACGUUCCUGUGCCCACGAGAUAGAUAUAUAAACUUUCAGUCUUAUCUGAUUACCAGUGAAGGUUCUGUGUGGGAUUUUUUUUUUUUAAGGUCUAAAUACUGAGUGCAUGAUAAGAGAACAGUUCCUUUUUGCAAUAUGCCAGCUGUCAAGAGUUUCUAGGCAAGAUAUUAUUUCUGAUAAAUAGAUAUGGACAAUAGAUAAUGUCUAUAUUAAUCUCACUAAAACGUGGUCCUCUCCUGCAGCUCACCCAGGACGGGGACAACGGUGUGUUAGGCAGAUGCCAGACAAGAGACUUUUUUCUUGUGACAGUUUGAGCUCCCCUGCCACAAUUAACUUUUUCUCCCCCUCCCUCUCCUCCUUCAUCUCAUGCAAUGUGGUUCAGUAAAAGGGGGUCUGUAUUUUCCUCCUGCUGAUGGAAGUUGAUUAGCAGUCAGGUGGAGUGAUGCUCAGGGGACAACACAGAGGAUUAAUUAAAUCACUUCUACUGGCUAAGUGGUGACACUUUGAUUUAUAGCAGAGCUCACUCAACCAGACAGCAGCUUUUCUUGCAUGCCGAAGGAGAGGAGGGCCACACUGGCCACUGGUUGGAGGCCGAGGGCUUGGCAAACUUUAAAGACAAGCAUCCUAGUCAUUAAAGCAGAGGCCACCCGCUGGGCUCGUCUCUCCAGGGCAGGGGGACCUGCAGGCUCAGGAGAGGAGCUAGAAAGAAUGGAGCCGCUGAGGCAGGCCAGCAGUCUAACAAAAAGCUAGGGGAUCUGUUUCAGAACAUGAAGAGCUCCAUCACACCCCUGCAGAAAGGCAGGCUUGAAACAGCUUAGCAUACUUUUCUCCAGGUUCACCUCUACUGGAAGGGUUCGUUAGCAUCACACCUUGGUUUGCUCAAAAGACACAGCCCUAUGAUGGUCCUGUUGAACUGAUUCCGGGCUGUUUGUGACUAUUUUCCAUCAUAGCACAGGGUCUUCUCAAUGAGGAGCCCUCAGGCCAAGAUGCACACAAUAGCUGUGCUCCUGGUGGCAUGUUUUAUGUUACGAGCUGGAUACAUCUGAUGGCUAAUCUUAUUUCACUCUUUGCUUGGGCUCCUAGGAAGCUCAGAGCUGACCCUACAGCCCAAACCACAGGCCCUCACAGAUGCCCCUGUAUGUGAAUGCCUCAUGGGAUGCAACUGUCCCUUUACCCAGAACACUUCUGUUUAUCUUAAAAUGUUUGGGGUGAAAGCUGCCUCCAACUCUCUUAGGAACAAGAUCAUAUAGGAUAGUAGUCAAAACCCCUAGACUUCACCCAUAUUAAGCACACUCUAGUUCUCUAGAUGACCUGUAUUGAAGAAGUGUGCUUAUUAAGACACACAUUCCUGGGACCUACUGCAGACCUUCUGAGUAGGUCAAGACAGGGCCUAGGAACCUCCUAAACAAUCCUGGAAUGUUUGAGAACUAUAGUUUCAUGUUUUUAAAUUUUUAUUUAUUAUUUAUGUACUUGGCUGCGCUGGGUCUUAGUUGUACAUGAGAACUCUUAGCUGUGGCAAAUGGGAUCUAGAUCCCUGAACGGGGAUCAAACCCAAGCCCCCUGCAUUGGAAGCUCAGAGUUGCGGCUACUGAACCACCAAGGCAGUGCCAAGAACUGUAGUGCUAAGCCCCAAAACCAAAUCUCAGCACCACCAAUUAAUAGUGGGUCGCCUCAAGCAAGACCUUCCAUUUCUCAAGGCUUCCUUUCCUCAACUAUGAAAUAGCAUUGGUGAGAAUUAAAUUAGAUGUUUGUAGGUAGGCACACACCUCAAAUGGAUGCCUGGAAACCGUAAUAUUCAAUAAAUAGUGGGCAGCCCAAGUGGCCAUCAGCUGAGGAAUGGAUAAGCAACGCAGUAUAUACAAAAACGCAAUAUUAGUUGUUAAAAGAAAGUUCUGACACCUGCCACAACAUGCAUGAAUCUUGAGAACAUGAUGCUAAGUGAAAGAAAUCAGACACUAAGAAAUAAAUAUUGUAUGAUUCCACUCAUACGAGAGUCUUAGAGGAGUUAAAGCCAUAGAGACAGGAAGUAGAACGGUGCUGCCAAGGGCUGGGGAGUGGGGGUGGGAUUAGGGUUUAACAGGUACAGUGUCAGUUUGGGAAAAUGAAAGACUUUAGGAGUUUGGGAUGGAGGUGAUGGCUGCAAAAUGAUGUGAAUGUACUUCACGCCACUGAACUGUGCACUGAGAAAUGGUUAAAACAGUAAACUCUAUAUUAGGUAUAUUUUAUCACAAUAAAAGAGAAAAUAAACAAUAGAUGUAGUUACCUCUCCCACCACCAACAAACCAAAUUUAUUUUGGACACCCUCCUCCCAUUUCCCGCCUUGCUCCCUCAGAUCCUCUACAAUCAAUUUAGCAACAAAGCAUCUGGUUGAGGUGUGGGAGGAAGGAGAACAGAUGAGGAAUGGGAAAGAAAUGACAGUAUCUAGCCCUCUCAUUGUUUUUUCUUUAACCCAGGGAUCCCAAAAGUCCCCAAGAUGCCACAGAACACUUAUCCCAACUGUGAAGGAAGCUGAUGCAACAUCAAAUAUUAAAGGGUAUAGGAACCAGCAUAGCUUUCCAUAUAAAUGAAUCUACUAACAUAUAUGAAGAUUGCUUUUAAAAUUCAAACAUAAUUAUUUUUUAAAAGGCAUCCUGUGAGCACUGUCUCUCUCCCAACACUGACACUUCUGGGCCCCUGUCAUGCUCCAGUGAGGCGCCUGUUGGCAGCCAGCCCAAAGCACUUUGUAACAUGCCCUCCAGAUCCUAAGUGAAAACUGAUCAAAGAAUUGGCACCGGCAAAGACAAGACUGAAAUCAGCUCUCAAAGGGGUGGGGCUGGGCUAUUGUCCCUCUUUGUGGGAACAGCUGCUUAACGGGGAAU
rnacentral:lncRNA from 1 species